CCAGAGUGAUCCGAUCCCACUUUGAAUCUUCUCUUGAAUAUUUUCUCCACUUCAAGUGACGCUUCGGUUCCCGUGGAGAAGUUCAUGAGGGUUUCCACUAUGGGUUGCACCUCCGCCUGAGCUGCUGAAGACGCCUUGAUCGACCGCGCGAAACCGUCAGAUCAGCCUCCCAGAGCUGUCGCGGCGAACACUCGACACCGCACCUUCGUUCGUUCCAGCCAGGGAGCCACCGAUCGAGAUGCUUCAUCGACUACCUGUGCUGGGUCGGUUUUUGCGCUCGAAGGACAGAGUGGUUUCGAGCUUUCCAAAUUUGCCGAAGAACAAACCGGUAAAAGGUCAAAGGUGACUGAGAUUUUCCUCGUCCACGGACAAAGAAGGAGAGCGUGUUCUACCGUUUCGGAGCUUCGAUUACAGAGACUACAAAAGGG